UAGGGAAUCUUCCGCAAUGGGCGAAAGCUUGACGGAGCAACGCCGCGUGAGUGAUGAAGGUCUUCGGAUCGUAAAACUCUGUUAUUAGGGAAGAACAAAUGUGUAAGUAACUAUGCACGUCUUGACGGUACCUAAUCAGAAAGCCACGGCUAACUACGUGCCAGCAGCCGCGGUAAUACGUAGGUGGCAAGCGUUAUCCGGAAUUAUUGGGCGUAAAGCGCGCGUAGGCGGUUUUUUAAGUCUGAUGUGAAAGCCCACGGCUCAACCGUGGAGGGUCAUUGGAAACUGGUUGACUUGAGUGCAGAAGAGGAGAGUGGAAUUCCAUGUGUAGCGGUGAAAUGCGUAGAUAUAUGGAGGAACACCAGUGGCGAAGGCGACUCUCUGGUCUGUAACUGACGCUGAGGCUCGAAAGCGUGGGUAGCAAACAGG
rnacentral:rRNA from 1 species